AGGGGGUCACUGUUAUAUCUUCCCCUUUCUACAUUAGGGGGACCUUGGUACAAAGUCAGCCGGGAAGAUUUUGGCACAAAUGGUGGAUGCUGCCGGUCUCUCGAGAGAUUUUUAUUUCAAGCAAACAGAGCAGAUGCAAUUUAGCAAGCCAAACCAAACACCUUUGCAUCCAUUGAAACUCCUUGCAUACCAUACCUUUCAAUUCUAUUUUGUUUCCUAUUUUGUCAAGUGCAAAUUCCCAGCUUAAUUGCCAGCAGUGUAUCCCCAUACAUUAUCCCACGCGCCGCUUGGACCACCCUUAGG
rnacentral:misc_RNA from 1 species